rfam:Apaloderma vittatum contig72037, whole genome shotgun sequence.
UAGCUCAGUCAGUUGAGCGUGGCGCUAACAACGCCAAGGUCGUGGGGUCAAUUCCCAU